GCGGAUGGCUGGAUGACCGCGGGCGGCAACGCCCGAGGAAAGUCCGGGCUCCACAAGGCAACGGUGCCGGGUAACCCCCGGCGGGGGCAACCCCAGGGAAAGCGCCACAGAGAACAGACCGCCUGCGGUCCCGCGCUUGCGGAACCGGCCGCCGGCAAGGGUGAAACGGUGGGGUAAGAGCCCACCGCGGGACGGGCAACCGGACCGGCACGGCAAGCCCCACCGGGAGCAAUGCUAAAUAGGGGGUCCGCGCCGGCGGCAACGACGGCAGGGUGGCCUGACCCGAGGACCCCGGGUUGGCAGCUCGAGGCGCAUCGGCAACGAUGCGUCCAGAUGAAUGGUCAUCCAAGGGGCAGCGAUGCCCCCGGACAGAACCCGGCUUACAGGCCAUCCGCGCAA
rnacentral:RNase_P_RNA from 1 species